AAACUUUACAAUGCGGGAAACCGUGAUAAGGGGACACCGAGUGCCAGCAACAUUUGUUGGCUGUCCAGGUGUGUAAACUACACCUGUUAGCAAGGCCGGGCAAGACCGGUGCCAGCCGCCGCGGUAACACCGGCGGCCCGAGUGGUGAUCGUGAUUAUUGGGUCUAAAGGGUCCGUAGCCGGUUUGGUCAGUCCUCCGGGAAAUCUGACGGCUUAACCGUUAGGCUUUCGGGGGAUACUGCCAGGCUUGGAACCGGGAGAGGUAAGAGGUACUACAGGGGUAGGAGUGAAAUCUUGUAAUCCCUGUGGGACCACCUGUGGCGAAGGCGUCUCACCAGAACGGACCUGACGGCAAGGGACGAAAGCUAGGGGCACGAACCGGAUUAGAUACCCGGGUAG
rnacentral:rRNA from 1 species